UCACUACUUUGGCCGCCUCCAGGCCCUGGGCACAGCUUGCAGCACUCGGGGUUCAAGGAUUGGCUCAGGGUUUGGGGAACUCCCUCCUUUCCCCACCCCCGGUCCGCGGGAGAAGAAGGCAGGAGUUGGCUGCUGGUGUGGGCACACCAUCUUUGCACCGCACACAACAGGUGCUCAGUAAAUGGCGGCACAAAAAUGAGUUGAUCCUGAGGCACAAGUUCACAUCCCACCUGUUUACCAACAAGGUCAGCCUUACACAGAGGCCCCAUGGAGGGCCAGAGAAGAGCCCGGCAGCUCCAAGGCUGGCAAGCGAGCAGGCGCGGUGCCCACGGAGCCCACCGAGCUCACGGCUUUCUUGUCGACCCUGGAGUUUGAGGAUAAAGUUGUCUCCUGGAUUCAAGCCUGUUCUUCUUGUGUUUUGAAGCUCUCCAGGCUUUGUCCGGGGUCUGUUUAAGGGCUUGGUCCUUUCUGUUAAGGCCUUGCUUAGUCUGGAGUGCUUGUUUGGCACUUGGGCCUGACUCUUUUGAAAUCGGGCUGUUCCUACUGGACCUGUGCUAGCCUUCGAUCUGAUGCCUUUUGGAACUGGGCUGGCAUUUGUCCUACAGGCUGUUUAAGAAUUAUUAUUUUUUGCUCUAGAGACAAACCUCUGAAAAAUGGGAUCCCAGUUACGUAAAUGUUUUGAAAGCACUCCCGCUUCAGGGACCAAAGCCAAUUUUAUCUUUCAAAACUGCAGCCCCACCGAUGUGUAUUUCUAACUAAAUGGACUGACUUAACCAAAAAUAAUUUAGAACAUCUGUUACUGAACCAAACUCGGGUCCGCUCACCCGUGUGCAGUGAAGCCAGUCCCCUGACACUGGGUUGUGAGGAACGAAAGUGCAGUGUUUAUUGCAGGCGCCAAGCAGGAAGUCCAGGCUAGUGCCGAAAAGACCUGAGCUCCCCGAAGGCCUUCGGGGAAAUUUAAAGUUAGGGUGAGGGAGGCGGGCUGUGAGGUGCGUGGUCAGCUCGUGGACGGUCUUCUGACUGGCGGGUGGUGAGUCAUCAGGAGUCGACGUCUUCAACCUUCCGGGUCCAACCGGUCUGAAGUCUCCGUGCUUGUGGGCAGCACAGUUAGCUUCUUCCACCUGUCUCCACCAGUCUCUGCAAAAUAGCUUGAAGGAUCUGGUGCAGGACAUUAUCUACAGCCCUUGAGCAGGAACUAAAGGUCCUUGACUUUGAUGUCUAAA